AACGAACGCUGGCGGCGUGCUUAACACAUGCAAGUCGAACGCGAAAGGGACUUCGGUCCUGAGUAAAGUGGCGCACGGGUGAGUAACGCGUAGAUAACCUGUCUUCAUGUCUGGAAUAAUACGCCGAAAGGGGUACUAAUACCGGAUAUUCUUGCUUUUCAUAAGUUAUGCAAGCAAAGGUGGCCUCUGCAUAUGCUACUGCAUGAAGAGGGGUCUGCGUACCAUUAGCUAGUAGGUGGGGUAAUGGCCUACCUAGGCGACGAUGGUUAGCGGGUCUGAGAGGAUGAUCCGCCACACUGGCACUGGAACACGGGCCAGACUCCUACGGGAGGCAGCAGUGAGGAAUAUUGCGCAAUGGGGGAAACCCUGACGCAGCGACGCCGCGUGAGUGAGGAAGGCCUUCGGGUCGUAAAGCUCUGUCAAGAGGAAAGAAGUGUACAAUGGCUAAUACCUGUCGUAUUUGACGGUACCUCUAAAGGAAGCACCGGCUAACUCCGUGCCAGCCGCCGC
rnacentral:rRNA from 1 species